UACAGAGGUCCCGAGCGUUGUUCGGAUUCAUUGGGCGUAAAGGGUGCGUAGGUGGCGCCGUAAGUGGGGUGUGAAAUCCCGGGGCUUAACCCCGGGACUGCAUUCCAUACUGCGGUGCUUGAGGACUGGAGAGGAGACUGGAAUUUACAGUGUAGCAGUGAAAUGCGUAGAGAUCGUAAGGAAGACCAGUGGCGAAGGCGGGUCUCUGGACAGUUCCUGACACUGAGGCACGAAGGCCAGGGGAGCAAACGGG
rnacentral:rRNA from 1 species